GCUCGGUGCGGCAGCCUCACUGCACGUGUGGCAGCCUUUCUGCGCGCUCGGUUUCUGAUUCUGCUCGCUCGGCUGUUGGGAGUUUUGGCACUCUGGAGGCGUGGAAGAAUUAAAGUGCCAGAAACUGAGCAGUUGAACUUUCAAUUUGAGAGCAGAAUUUCAUAUCAAGAGGCCAUCUUUUUAAUUUCAGAAUACUAUUUUAUAUUAUUGCUCUCAAAACUUGUAAUGCUUGCGCUCAAAAUGUCUGCUCUCUUUCAAAUUCACUCUGUUCUCCUUCAAAUCUUUGUUUUUGCGCUCAGAUUUAACCUUCUUACACUGGUAUUGUCUUCUCAUGUGACAACUUUUUCUCUACACGGAUCAAAACUCCUCCCACAAGUCUGUCCCCUGCUCUCACGGAUCUUGUCUGCUCUCGCUCAAAACUUAGAAGUACAAUCUCCUAGCAACCGCUCAGCCAAUAGAAAGACUUGUGGGACUGGGCGGGAACAAACCUCUUUGGGGUGCGCUCGUUUUGCGCUCUGUUGAUUUUCCUGUGUGGCUGCCGCAUCUGCGCACUAACAGCCUGGCUAAUACCCGCUCUGAUCUGGAGCGAGAGUUUCACCUGCACCAGCAAAAUGGACCAGAACCAACAAGACGCUCAAACUGGUUCCAUCCGAGAAGUUACGAGAAACCUUAUGGAUUUACUGAAUGCUCAUCUACAAGCAGAGGGCCCGCAACAAACACCAACUGUGCCACAGCGCACAACACCAGCGACAACACCUUAACAGACUAUCCCUCGGUCUACAGUUCAUCAAGAAAUGUCAAGGAUUUCCAAGAGCCAGACAUCGACUGGGAUGUUGCUGCAGAGUACAGCCCAGAUGUGGACGGUGCUGCUGUGGUCCCGGAGUUCGACAGUCCCCUCACUGAAGAGCAGCAUGCUGAACUGCAUCCAUGCUUUCGUUCUUUUUUAAACACAGAAACAGUUUUGUUUACCUGUUAGUAGCUACAGUUUCGCCGACGGCUGCCGGCUUCUUCAGGCUGACGCUGUUGGUGGCGCGUCACUUCCUUCUCCGUUUAUCUGCGGGCAGCAGAGACAACUGCCCGCAGAUAAACGGAGAAGGAAGUGACGCGCCACCAACAGCGUCAGCCUGAAGAAGCCGGCAGCCGUCGGCGAAACUGUAGCUACUAACAGGUAAACAAAACUGUUUCUGUGUUUAAAAAAGAACGAAAGCAUGGAUUUAGAAAGACACAGCAAGAACACACCUAAGAUGCUGAACUGCAGUUGCUACUGGCACAAAAUUGGGAGCGUUCAAACACUAAGGAACUUUAUCUAUUGUGCAGAGAAUAUGUUAAUGCUGCUUUGUCAGAUUAAUGUGUACUUGAAAUAAAAAAUCAAGAGAUCA